rfam:Arabis alpina cultivar Pajares chromosome 6, whole genome shotgun sequence.
AACCCGUGAUGAGGACAGUCUCUCUCAUAUCCCUUAAACCUUUCCCACACAGCCUUGAAAGAUUCUGUCAGAUUCUGAACGAAAGUGGAGAUCUUAGCUCGUAGAU